rnacentral:rRNA from 1 species
UACUAACUCUGGCGGCGUGCCUAAUACAUGCAAGUCGAGCGAAGUUUUUCUGGUGCUUGCACUAGAAACACUUAGCGGCGAACGGGUGAGUAACACGUAAAGAACCUGCCUCAUAGACUGGGACAACUAUUGGAAACGAUAGCUAAUACCGGAUAACAGUAUUUCUCGCAUGAGAGAUCUUUAAAAGUUGGUUAUGCUAACACUAUGAGAUGGCUUUGCGGUGCAUUAGCUAGUUGGUGGGGUAAAGGCCCACCAAGGCGACGAUGCAUAGCCGACCUGAGAGGGUGAUCGGCCACACUGGGACUGAGACACGGCCCAGACUCCUACGGGAGGCAGCAGUAGGGAAUCUUCCGCAAUGGGCGAAAGCCUGACGGAGCAACGCCGCGUGAGUGAAGAAGGAUUUCGGUUCGUAAAGCUCUGUUGUUAGGGAAGAAUGGAUAUGUAGUAACUAUACAUGUAAGAGACGGUACCUAACCAGAAAGCCACGGCUAACUACGUG